CUUGGUCUGGCUGCGAUUAAGCGCUGCAGAAAGAGGCAGGCUUCAAGGCUGACCUGGCUGCGAUCGGGGGACGCAACGACAAAGUUCUUCAUGGCCAAAAUCAACUCAAGAAGGCGCAAAAAUUUUAUCCAUGCCCUGAAGAUCAACGGCUCCAUCACCACUGCACAUGAAGAAAAAGUUGAAGCCAUCCACGACCAUUUUAGCGACAUCCUCGGAGCCACCCAACACCGCCCUACCUCGAUCAACUGGAGCCAGCUACAGGUUCCACAAGUUUAGGGAGGAGGUCUUGACAACCCUUUCACAGAAGAUGAAGUU
rnacentral:rRNA from 1 species